rnacentral:rRNA from 1 species
GACGGGGGGGGCAAGUGUUCUUCGGAAUGACUGGGCGUCAAGGGCACGUAGGCGGUGAAUCGGGUUGAAAGUGAAAGUCGCCAAAAAGUGGCGGAAUGCUCCUCGAAACCAAUUCACUUGAGUGAGACAGAGGAGAGUGGAAUUUCGUGUGUAGGGGUGAAAUCCGUAAAUAUACGAAGGAACGCCAAAAGCGAAGGCAGCUCGUCUGGGUCCCUACCGACGCUGGGGUGCGAAAGCAUGGGGAGCGAACAGG